rnacentral:lncRNA from 1 species
UUUAAGGAACACUCGUACCCUCCCUGUCACUAUCAACUAUUGAAAUCGGCCUCACCCUGACUGGACUACUUAGUUGUGCAUACUUCUUGCCUUCAGUUUAAACCUUACUCUCAUCUAGGAUCCUGAAAAUGGGAGGGUUGGGGCUGGGGGAAGAUGACAUGACACUAAGCACUUUCUGUGCCCCUCUUCCCAAUUCUCCACGUGGAAUAAAUCUUGCUCUGUUUUGUCUAACAACUUUUCUUUUUACUUGGUCAGUUGAGGACAAGUAGCCAAAUCUGGUUAGAGCAAUCGGGACCCAGGCUCUUACCUGAACUCUAGUAACAAACAUAAGGUUUUCUUUGUUUCCUUUGAGUUGCUUCUAGAAACUCAAACAAGAGCCAAACCCCAGCAAGUACCCCACACCUUAAAAUCCUAGAGCUGCCAUACCCUGGAGCCAAGCACAUCCUCCCUCCCAGGCUAAUGUAGCUGAACUGCUCCUUCUGCCUAUGCUACACCCCCACCCCACUUCCUCCCACCCAUAGGACUGAGAGGGAAAGUGGAACACUUCCCCUUCCAAUGCCAAUGGAAAGGAAAGCAUUGCAGUUUCCAAAGACGAGGGUGCCUCCAAGAUGAGGAGUCCAACAUUUUCAUCCCCAUGGAAGAGAUUUGCUUCCUGAAUGGAUGUGCUGAUUAGUGCCCAUGAGAUGCAAAUGGAGGCAGAUUUGGAGAGAGAUGGCAUCUCACGUUCCAAGGGUACAGAUCAUCGUGGCCAGGAAGACCCGGGGUGGGAGCAGCUCACUGUUGUGACAACAGGAAUGUGACACGACGUCUCAAACUUCUGGAAACAGAAAAGGACAAGAAACAGAGCCAAGCUACAAACCUCAAGGUGGGUUCCCUGGCAAACUGCUUCUUCCAGGUAGACUGCAUGUACAGAAGUUCCACUGCCUCCCAGAACAGAGCCACCAUUUGGUGGCUAAGGGUGCAACACUUGAGCCUGUGGGGACAAUUUGCUUCUGACAUAACAGUGAUUUAGCACUUAGGAAAAAUGGAUCUAUCCUCAAAGUCACAGAAUGUAACUUUUAGGAAGAAUUUUGGCUACUUAGAGGCAUGCUUUUGUCCAUUUAUGUAAGAAAUUCCAUUUGAGAUUUAUUCAGUGUUUCUAGAAAAUUAUUGUAAACUGUGAGAAAUGAAAUUUAUUCUAAGUAGCAGCAGAUAGAAACUAAAGUAUGUAUUUAAAAAAUCAACUGUGCUGUAAUAAUAAGCAGCUUCACUCUAACUGGGUAACUGCCUGGAAUCUCUCUAACCUUCCCCUUGAUAAAGGAAAUAAUGGAAGGCCUAGAUUUUAACUUCCUGGAAACUUCAAAAUAAAUGUCUUAAUCAUGAUCAUAACAAAAAUGUUGUCCCCAGUAUGGCUAGGUGUUCUUCAAAGCUCUGAGAUCUUUUUUUAUAGUGUUCGCCUACAGGAGAAACCAAGGUGCCAUCUACAGCCAAACACUCAGAUUUCUAAAAAUGCUUCCAUUUACUAACUUUCUUCUGAAGGUUGCAGCAGCCUAAAUCUGAGUCUUUUACCA